rnacentral:lncRNA from 1 species
CAGUAGAAAAUAUUUAGGCCCAGGGAGAGGUGUCUCAUGGAGUGGAUGAAAGAGAACAGGGGCCAGGGGAUUUUGAGGCUUAGUGCCUCAUUCUCCAUUCACAGAACAAGUGAGUUGGCUUAGGUGAGUCUCUGGGGACCCUUGGGCUGAAAGCCACUGAGCAAGGGAUUGAUCCAGACCCACCCUUCAACUGCUGAGCCACACAGCUUAGCCUGUGCAGGACACCUGGCCUCCUAACGGUUUCUUGCCUUGGCAUGCGAACAUUUGGUGUCGCCCUGAAAUCUAGGAGAGGCACCAGAUGCCCAGGUGGGCAGGAAACCAUCAUCAUCAUGGGUUGAUUAGAACCCAUCUGUUUUUUAAAAGGGUAGGAUAUCUGGGCUCUUUAUUUUAAGCAAGCUCUGAUCUUAUGAAAUAAAGAAGUCCAGCUUUUCCCAUGGUGUGUUUGUAGACCACAAGUGCCAUGGGGUGUAAAGAUGUGUUACAGGGAGAAAAUGAAAGUCCAAUGGCCAAGUACAUUUGGGAAACUUUAAAGACCCUUAUCCUGCAGGAGUUCUCAGUCUUUAAUAUGCAGAAGUGCAUUGGGUAUCUGCAAAAUAGUAUGUGUGUGUGAGGGUUGUGAAUGUGAGUGUGUGUGUAGAGGUGGGUACUGUGUGCAGCUUUUUAAGAUUAAUUGAUCAGAGAACAAAUAUAUAUAUAUGUUAUAUAUAUAUGUUAUGUACAUACACACACACACACACGCACACACAUUUAGACACAUACAGAAUAGCUGGAGAAGAGUUCCACAGAAAAACAUUUGGGGAAAUGCUAAGGUUAUCUGAGGUCAAAGCUAAAAAAAUUAAAGUGAAUAAACAGUGACUUAAAACUUAUUUCUGCAUGUUAGUUUCAGCAUGUCAGUUUCUCACAUUUUUUCCCACUUUGUUAGCUUAAUUUCUUUUAUCCUCAGAAGAAAAAUGGCAUGCAAAUGAUCCUUUUCCCUUCCCUACGUGCGGUGCUCAUGGGAGGCAGAAGUAUUGUGUGUGCUCAUUGAGACGAGGGUAACCAAGCUCAUGUGACAAAUCAAUGGUGGGUUUGUAACCCAGAAACCCACAUGUGACAUUGGUGUUUAGGAGCUAAAAAAGAACCUUAUUUUAAAAUGCCACUAAAGACCAAAAACCCUUUUGUCAUGUAUAGCUUUCACACAUAGAGUUGCCAGCACCUGCAUAUACACAGGUGUGUUUGUUACCCCGCAGGGCAGGCUUCUUUAUUGGUCAGUGUGCCUGGUCAGUGGAAAUGGCCGAAGUGGCUCAGGGCCCAGCUCUGUUACCCGUGAUCCUAAUAUUAUAUGAUCCAAAGCAGGUCUAUGCCUUCUCGAAUAAAUCCACACAGGCUCUGCUGUGCAGACAAGGACGCAGAGGCUCUGAGCACUUGAGCUACCAAGCCAUCAACUAUGCAGCACUGUUAAAGCAGGAUCCAGGACCCAUACCACAUUGGACUCUAAAUUCUGUGCCAAGCAGUGCCAAGGGCUAAGUGGAGCAUACGAUGUCCUCUCCAUCAAGGAAUGGGUGGGAGAAACAAGUGGAGUUCACUGGCUUCAGUGGCAGAGGCCAUGACUUUGGGCAAGUCACUUCCACUUCCAUGCCUUGGUCUUGCCAUUGGUACAAGGAUGGGGUUGGCCUACAGUCCAUGUCCUCCGAACUUUUAAAUUCAUGUAACCCCCCUCCAUAUCCUCCCAACUUUUUGAAAACCCAAAUAAAAUCUUAGGCCAAAUCCCAAUACAUACAAAGAGACAAAAAUUGGAGACACCUUGAGCUGCUCAGGGCUUUCUAGGAGGCAAAUUGGACACAUUUCGUUUAGCAUUUGCUAUUGAUCAUCUCUGUGUCUCCUCCCCUGGCCCCCCUAGUGGGACAUGGUGGCUGCAGCCUCAGGCUUUGGAGUCUGGCACACAGAGGUCCAGUCUGGGCCCUGCCACCUUCUGGCUAUGUGACCUUGGGCAAGUCAGUUGCGUCUCUGUAAGAUGGUGGUGAUGAUGGUUGAGUGGAGGUGAGGGAUGAAAUGUGCCGAUGCAUGCUCGUUUAAUACUUUGCUCAGUGCCCAGCAGGCUGGAGGUUAAACAAGGCUGAUGAAGAAGGCCUUUGAAGACACUGCUCUCCUGGGGAAGUACUGCUGUCUGUUAUUUUUCUCUCCCAGAGAUACAGCCCAGGAGUAAAAACUCCUCUCCCAACCUUGGCAUCCCCUGAAUGCUGCCUGGAAGCCCCCUUCUCCUGACUUCACCGAGCAUCUCCCAUAAGCCCAGGUCUGGACAAAACCAGGAAAAUGUAGAAAACCAGGGUCAGGUCAUGAUGGGUGAGUAUGACAGCUUGGGCCUACCAGCCCUAGGCCUAGACCAGGGUUCUCCUGAGGAGGUAAAGGAAUCGUUCCCUGGAUUCCAAGGAAGAACUGGGCAUUGGAGCCUCAUUUUAAGAGGGGAUGUUUGUUGUGGUACUUAACAGUGUAGACCCACCCUGAGUUCAAAUCCCAGCCCCGACUCUUAGUGGUUGUGUGAGGCACUUACUGGUUUAAGAGGCAAAUUGCUCCAACUCUGCCUCAUCCUUCUCACUUGCAAAAUGAGGCUGGUAGUGAUACCUGCCUCGCAGGGUUGCUGGGGAAGGCCCCUAGAAUGUUGCCAGCCACGUUAACAAGGACCUCCCAAACAGCAUGUUUGAAUGUGUGUACGUGCUCGUUUUCUGUUAGAAUAGGAGUCAAACUGUACUUUUAGAAUAACAUGCUCGUGGAACAUUUGGAGAGCCUCUGAAACACUUUCAUGGAACACAAUUUGGAGACUACCCCUUCAGCAAAUAUUGGUGGUUCUCAUUUUUGUACUGGAGGAUAAUGGAGGGGCCACGGAUGCUGAGAGUUGGAGGCAGAGGAGGAAGGAGGAGAGAUGGGGAGGGGAGAAGUUGAGGUGAUGCUGUGGAGAGUGCAGUCAGUAGUGGAAAUAGUACUCUUCGCAACCCAGGGAGGCCAUGUGAGCUUCUGCUGAGGCUUGGGAAGUCUCCUAGCAGUUGUUGAUGAGCAAACUCAGCUCCUGGGGCUGCUUUAAUGACCUCUGGCCCGCGCCUUUGAAGAAAAGGUGCAGAAGAGCGUGGAGCAAGGUAAACAUGUGUGCAGAGAAGUGGGGGUGGGGAG